CAUGGAGGGUGAGAAUCCCGUUCGGCUGACCAGAUUCGUUUACGAUACACUUUCAAAGAGUCAAGUUGUUUGGGAUUGCAGCUUAAAAUGGGAGGUAAAUUUCUCCUAAGGCUAAAUAUUGGCGAGAGACCGAUAGCGAACAAGUACCGUGAGGGAAAGAUGAAAAGUACUUUGAAAAGAGAGUUAAAUAGUACGUGAAAUUGUUGAAAGGGAAACGAUUGAAGCCAGUCGUACUCAUGGGUAAUCAACCUUUCUGGCGCGAUUAUGUGGGCGUGUUGGAGCCUAAUCAGCCCUCGCGUUUUUAUAUUCGUUCCUCUUGGGUGUACUUGCCCGUGUGGUAGGUUAACAUCAAUUUUGGGCGUCAUAAAAUGACGGGAGGAAUGUAGCUUCGGUCUCGGCUGAAGUGUUAUAGCCUCUGGUAGAUGUGACGUCUGGGAUUGAGGAUUGCAACGGAUACCCCUCGGGGCUACCUGCCUGGCCUCUGAUGAUUGCUAUGGUGCCGAAAGCUUGCUUACGGUCAUCAAAGUUGAUUGUCAAAAGGUUAGAACGGGUUAAAUUCGUUAAGGAUGUUGACGUAAUGG
rnacentral:rRNA from 1 species